rfam:Herpetosiphon aurantiacus DSM 785, complete genome.
GGCGCAUUCGUCUAGCGGCCUAGGACGUCACCCUUUCAAGGUGAAGAUCACGGGUUCGAAUCCCGUAUGCGUCA